rnacentral:lncRNA from 1 species
GUGGACUAUGAACUUCACAUGUGCUUCUCAGUUUUCAUCUGCCCCCUUAGGUGGGACAGGAUGAUAGAAUGAGCUAGAGUUAAGUAUUUUCCUUCUUCCACAUGGAAAGCUAGAGGGGCUGGAGAUAUUUUUUUUUUCCCCCAGGUCACUUAGGCUCUGAUAAAACUUCAGCAGGUUGGGCUCCCUUAAAUAGUUACUCCUGAGAGCAGGUCUUGCUAAGAAGAAAAUGCUCUGGUGUAUUUCAAAAUGGUUCGUUUUUCUUUCUCCCUGACAAAAGCAUGAAGAGAUUUUUUUUCCCGGGAAUUUACUGUGAGGCCCUGGUCAAACUCCUGGAGGUAAAAUUCAUGAAACUGUGGGAACUGCGUUGGCUGGGUUCCCCGGAAUAACUCUCAGGCUUGUUCACAACUUAGCUUCCGGCAAUUCAUCAAUUACAGCGCAGGUUUUCCUGUGCCAGCACUGAUUCCGGCAGUGGUUUCUGCUCUUGAGUUUCUCCUCUGGUAUUUUAACAACUUGCAAAACCCCUAUCUGCAAUACUCAAGAAGACUAAUUUCAGAAUACUUAUCUGUGAAGCUGGAAAGCCAAAAUGAGAUUUCAGAGCCCUCACAGUGCUGGAGGAACAAAGUUGAACUUUAAGCUCAGCCAGGGUGCAGUGUACUAGGUUCCUCAUCUAUAAAAUGGAGAUAAUAAAAGAACCUAUUUCAUAUGGUUCAUUACCCCACCAAAUGAGCUAACCAAUGAGAGGAACUUAAGAAAACUCCUAACACAUGCUUUGUUUAACAAGAAGAGACACAAAAGCUUGCCCUCUGGCUUUCUGCUGCCGUGUGAGGAUACAAGGUGAAAGUGGCUGUCUGCAAACCAGGAAGAGUGCCCUCACAAGACACAGUCUCCCAGAAUGGGUGCAGCACACCAACAUGGCAC